rnacentral:rRNA from 1 species
GACGAACGCUGGCGGCGUGCUUAACACAUGCAAGUCGAACGGAAAGGCCCUGCUUUUGUGGGGUGCUCGAGUGGCGAACGGGUGAGUAACACGUGAGUAACCUGCCCUUGACUUUGGGAUAACUUCAGGAAACUGGGGCUAAUACCGGAUAGGAGCUCCUGCUGCAUGGUGGGGGAUGGAAAGUUUCGGCGGUUGGGGAUGGACUCGCGGCUUAUCAGCUUGUUGGUGGGGUAGUGGCUUACAAAGGCUUUGACGGGUAGCCGGCCUGAGAGGGUGACCGGCCACAUUGGGACUGAGAUACGGCCCAGUCUCCUACGGGAGGCAGCGGUGGGGAAUAUUGCACAAUGGGCGGAAGCCUGAUGCAGCAACGCCGCGUGCGGGAUGACGGCCUUCGGGUUGUAAACCGCUUUCGCCUGUGACGAAGCGUGAGUGACGGUAAUGAGUAAAGAAGCACCGGCUAACUACGUG